rnacentral:tRNA from 1 species
ACCUGGUUGGCUCAGUGGGUAAAGCACAUGACUCUUGAUCUUGGGGUUGUGAGUUCGAGCCCCUCGUUGAGUG